AGUGAACGCUGGCGGUAGGCCUAACACAUGCAAGUCGAGCGGCUGCACAGUACGAGCUCCUUCUUACGGCUGCCGACUGGUGGAUAGUUGCGAAAAAUCUCCGUAUUUGUUUUUUCUAGCGGCCUAACGCGGGCACUAAUACCGCAUACGUGCUGACGACCUACGGGUGAAAGCUUCGGACCUUCGGCUCUCGCAUGAUCCUAUGUCCCGAGGUCGGAUUAGCUAGUUGGUGGGGUAAAGGCCCACCAAGGCGACGAUCCGUAGCUGGUCUGAGAGGAUGAUCAGUCACACUGGAACUGAGACACGGUCCAGACUCCUACGGGAGGCAGCAGUGGGGAAUAUUGGACAAUGGGCGAAAGCCUGAUCCAGCCAUGCCGCGUGUGUGAAGAAGGUCUUCGGGUUGUAAAGCCCUUUAGGUGGGGAGGAAGGGCAGUAAGUUAAUACCUUGCUGUUCUGACGUUACCCAAAGAAUAAGCACCGGCUAACUUCGUG
rnacentral:rRNA from 1 species